rnacentral:tRNA from 1 species
AUUUAUAUAAUAUAAAAAGUAUAAUUAACUUCCAAUUAAAAAGUCUAAUAAAUUUUAGUAUAAAUA